GAUGAAGAACGUAGCGAAAUGCGAUACGUAAUGUGAAUUGCAGAAUUCAGUGAAUCAUCGAAUCUUUGAACGCAUAUGGCGCUCUCUGGUAUUCCGGAGAGCAUGCUUGUUUGAGUAUCAGUAAACACCUCAACUUCCAUAUCUUUUUUGAAAUGGGAGUUGGACUUGAGUGAUCCCAACGAUUUUCCUCACCGAAAAGUGGCGGGUUACUUGAAAUGCAGGUGCAGCUGGACUUUUCUCUGAGCUAUAAGCAUAUCUAUUUAGUCUGCCUAAAAAACAGAUUAUUACCUUUGCUGCAGCUAACAUAAAGGAGAUUAGUUCUUGUGCUGACUGAUGCAGGAUUCACAAAGACAGGCUUCGGCCGACUUUGUAAACUCGAUCUCAAAUCAAGUAAGACUACCCGCUGAACUUAAGCAUAUCAAUAAGCGGAGGA
rnacentral:misc_RNA from 1 species